ncrna:Salmonella enterica subsp. enterica serovar 4,[5],12:i:- str. CVM23701 C4 antisense RNA
AAUUAUGGUGGGGCGUAUGGGGGAGCCGAAAGGCUCGCCGGUCGGUGAUCCGGUUACGCCAACCCUGUACGUCUCACCACCCAA